rnacentral:rRNA from 1 species
UACGUAGGGACCAAGCGUUGUUCGGAUUUACUGGGCGUAAAGGGCGCGUAGGCGGUCAGCACAAGUCAGUUGUGAAAUCUCCGGGCUUAACUCGGAAAGGUCAACUGAUACUGUGCGACUAGAGUGCAGAAGGGGCAACUGGAAUUCUCGGUGUAGCGGUGAAAUGCGUAGAUAUCGAGAGGAACACCGGUGGCGAAGGCGGCCUUCUGGACAGUGACUGACGCUGAGACGCGAAAGCGUGGGGAGCAAACAGG